rnacentral:rRNA from 1 species
AACGAACGCUGGCGGCAUGCCUAACACAUGCAAGUCGAACGAGACCUUCGGGUCUAGUGGCGCACGGGUGCGUAACGCGUGGGAAUCUGCCCUUGGGUUCGGAAUAACACAGAGAAAUUUGUGCUAAUACCGGAUGAUGUCUUCGGACCAAAGAUUUAUCGCCCAGGGAUGAGCCCGCGUAAGAUUAGGUAGUUGGUGGGGUAAUGGCCUACCAAGCCGACGACCUUUAGCUGGUCUGAGAGGAUGAUCAGCCACACUGGGACUGAGACACGGCCCAGACUCCUACUGGAGGCAGCAGUGGGGAAUAUUGGACAAUGGGCGCAAGCCUGAUCCAGCAAUGCCGCGUGAGUGAUGAAGGCCUUAGGGUUGUAAAGCUCUUUUACCCGGGAUGAUAAUGACAGUACCGGGAGAAUAAGCUCCGGCUAACUCCGUGCCAGCCGCCGCGGUAA